rnacentral:rRNA from 1 species
ACUCCUACGGGAGGCAGCAGUGGGGAAUUUUGGACAAUGGGCGAAAGCCUGAUCCAGCAAUGCCGCGUGUGUGAAGAAGGCCUUCGGGUUGUAAAGCACUUUUGUCCGGAAAGAAAUCCUUGGCUCUAAUACAGUCGGGGGAUGACGGUACCGGAAGAAUAAGCACCGGCUAACUACGUGCCAGCAGCCGCGGUAAUACGUAGGGUGCGAGCGUUAAUCGGAAUUACUGGGCGUAAAGCGUGCGCAGGCGGUUUGCUAAGACCGAUGUGAAAUCCCCGGGCUCAACCUGGGAACUGCAUUGGUGACUGGCAGGCUAGGGUAUGGCAGAGGGGGGUAGAAUUCCACGUGUAGCAGUGAAAUGCGUAGAGAUGUGGAGGAAUACCGAUGGCGAAGGCAGCCCCCUGGGCCAAUACUGACGCUCAUGCACGAAAGCGUGGGGAGCAAACAGGAUUAGAAACCCUAGUAGUCCC